GAAGUGCGAUAUGUAAUGUGAAUUGCAGAAUUCCGUGAAUCAUCGAAUCUUUGAACGCAAAUUGCACUCUUUGGUAUUCCGAAGAGUAUGCCUGUUUGAGGGUCAGUCAAAUAAAAAUCGGGGUUGUUGCUGCCUUCGGUGGUGACGCUUCGGAACUGGGUCGUCUUUUCUUUCGGUUAAGUGACCUAAAAUUUCGGAUGAUUUUCGAACGUAUUUAAUUUUUUUUAUGUACGUUUGUAUAUCGAAUAUUAGAUGCGGUCAUUUCCAUGAUUCGCGUCUAUAAUUUUCAUCAAAUGACCUCAAAUCAGGUAAGAGUACCCGCUGAACUUAA
rnacentral:misc_RNA from 1 species